ACAACAACAUCUUUAGGUUGAUAAUAACUUUUAGAUAAGUACUUAUUGGCUUAUAAGAAUUUUAAUACAUAAAACAUGUAACGAGUAUAUAGCACAGGUGGAGUAUGCGUUAAAAAUAUACACCAAUACAAACUCUAUCCACCCGCGCUACAUACUCACUCGGUUUAUUAAAAUACCUGUAAGUAAUAAUUGAUAUGUACUUAUCCUAAAGUUAACUCGUCAACUCAUCAGCAUUUUUUUUGUGUAAAUAGAAAGUAGAAACUGUAUCAUGUGUACCCUGAUAGUAUGGAUAAUUUAAAUCCCAAGACAAAGUUCAACAAUAUUUUUUUUUUAUGGAUAAGCUUAAUGUUAGCUUUUGUGUAAAUGUAAUUAUUUUUUCUCUUUCUAUUUUUUAUUUUUUUACAAAUUACUUAGCCAAAAAAUAUUAGGUAAUAUUUGGUAAACCUUGACAAUUUGAUAACGUUUCCGUAAUUUCGCCUAAACACAUUACUUUACAAAACAAACUUAAGGUACGACGUUUACAUUUAACCUAAUUGUUAAAAGGAAUAAAAGAGCCAUUAAUAAAGUAAAAACAUUUAACAUUUACUAAGUAAAUACGUGAUUACACACAAUGCAAAGUGAGCUCAAUGAUAGAACUAUGUUCAUAAUUUAACCACACUAAAAAUUUUUUGUUUGAAUUCGCAAGUAGAGAUAGCAUUGGUCAUUAGCAAAGUGCAUAUAAAAAAAAAUGAUAAGUGAUUUUCAUUAAUUUUAUCUAUUACUUUUACUGGUAAACAUAACUUCUAGUGGACGUCAUAGUGCACUGGCGACUGUUUCAUUUUUCUAUUUAAUUUCUGUGUUACUCAAGUUUAAUCUCUGUUUGUAUAAUCAAAUAUUACUAAUCGAUUAUUUUAUGGUUCUAAAACGGCAUUCGAUUGUAAUGAGAUAUAGUGUUGUUGUACAUUACGACAUUUUUUUGAUGAAUUUUAUGACUCAAGACCUUAAAAUAUAUUGUUUCUAAUCAAAGUACUGAUCAAAUUUUCUACAUUAUUCCAUCUCAACUAUUAAGAUGUGAUUUAUAACAAUAUAUGUAUAAAGUUAAUCGUAGAUAAAAGUAAUAUGUUAUUUAAGAGCCGCAAUGACCUCCGAAUAAAAAAAAAUGUAAUCGUUGAAAUUAUAGACAGUAGCAGAAGUUGUUUUAAUGUUAAUAGCUAAGUAUUCAUGUUUUGGAAGAUUCGAUUAAUACUUCACAAAUACUAUUAACUGAAUGAUUAACUUACAGGAGUGUUAUUUGACAAAUUAACC